rnacentral:lncRNA from 1 species
CAGCGAUGUUGCGGCAGCUGGUGUCUCUGGUGUCACGGCGGCGACUUGUGUCUGGGCGCGGCUUCCGUGAAGCGCGCUCUGCUGAUGGUUUCUCGACUGGCGCUUACAAGCAGUGGUGUUGUGGGAGCUGGAUCGGCAGUGUUGACACUAUACACUAGUGGCUCUGCAGGCUCGGCGUGCGUGUCUUUCAGAGCUGCACUGAGCCGGCGCGCGCGGGGGAAAGGGUUCCCCCCCCGCUGCGGGAGUUGA